UCCCCGGCUAGGCAUGGCGUCAUGAACCAUGCCGAAAAGGCGGAACCCUUGCCGCCCUGCCGGGGAGCUAUGCAUGUUUGA
rnacentral:sRNA from 12 species